UAGGGGGCAGCACCUUCCCGUUCCUGCGAAUUCUAAUCACUGAAGAUAAGGGAAUAUAGAAUAGUCCAAAACCUGAUAAACGAUGAAAGAUGGAUUGGAAAGUCACACGCUCACUGCAACAGGAGGAAACAAAAUCAACGACGGGAACACUCGCCAUGACACGUAACAGAAGGCCUACAGUCCGAAGACCCACAUCAUACUCAUGCAUUAUUAAGAGGUCGCCUUGGCAUCCCGUGCACCAGCAAAGGCCAACACAUCUCGUCUACGGAUAUUAUGGCAAGAUAUACCAUCUGAGUUGAUACAUUUUUAAAGAACUAUGAACAUCAAAAUUGAAUGUAGCCAAUAGGAAAUCCAUACAGCUGGAAACUUCAUCCGUGGACUCACUAAGCUGGAAUACCACAUACAUCUUGGGCUACCCCAUCCUUAAAGAAUGGUCUAGAAGUGGCAGUUCCUGGUGAUUACAAGUUCCAGGUUGUAACAGAGCCAAUGUGUUCAACUCCCUAAGGCAAUUAAUAAUUCCUGUGCGAGACUGAAUCCUGUGUGAAUCGAAGCAGCAAGCCAUGUGGAACUAGAUCAACCAAUUAAGAUAUAUGCCAUUGAAGAUGCAAGUUUUGCAGUAGCUGAAAUAAUGACAGAUCUUCCAUACUGCACAUACCAGGGUAUACUUUCCAAAGGUGGCAAGAAGUAAGGGAUGAUAUUCCCUGGUCAUCUAAGAAGAA